GCAGCACGCCGCGUGGGGGANGAAGGCUCUCGGGUUGUAGACCCCUUUCAGCAGGGACGAAACUGACGGUACCUGCAGAAGAAGCCCCGGCCAACUACGUGCCAGCAGCCGCGGUAACACGUAGGGGGCGAGCGUUGUCCGGAUUUAUUGGGCGUAAAGAGCUCGUAGGCGGUUCGAUAAGUCGGGUGUGAAACCUCCAGGCUCAACCUGGAGACGCCACCCGAUACUGUUGUGACUGGAGUCCGGUAGGGGAGCGUGGAAUUCCUGGUGUAGCGGUGAAAUGCGCAGAUAUCAGGAGGAACACCAGCGGCGAAGGCGGCGCUCUGGGCCGGUACUGACGCUGAGGAGCGAAAGCGUGGGUAGCAAACAGGAUUAGAUACCCUGGUAGUCCACGCCGUAAACGUUGGGCACUAGGUGCGGGUCUCAACCAACGGGAUCCGUGCCGCAGCUAACGCAUUAAGUGCCCCGCCUGGGGAGUACGGCCGCAA
rnacentral:rRNA from 1 species